rnacentral:piRNA from 1 species
CAUCAUCGUAGCCGAGCAGCGUAGUG